GCUCAGGUGAAGAGAGCUGGAGGAGAGGAAGCAUUGCUGAAUCCUGAGACUCUUCCUAAGGAAGCACUGAUUGCACCACUCCAGAUGCUUAAGACGACUUCGAUCUCUGCCAAUAAAGACACAACAAAGCAACAUUCUGACGGAUGCACUGGCACAAUGGAUCCCAUGUUCAAUCAAGACUGCAUAUCUGGGGGAGUGGAUAAAUGACUAUAUUACCUCUUCCCCAAUGAAAUCUUCAUCUUCCUUAGGAGACUGAAUUAAAGAAUGAAAUGAAUUCUCUUCAGCUCAACACUAGCAUGUGUGGAAAACCAUGUAUACACCUUUGACUGAGAGGUGACUUGUAGGAAAAACAGUAAAAAAAAAAAAAAAAAAAUAGUGUGUUUUAAUUUCCUAUAGUGGAAGACAAGUAGACAAA